UACGUAGGUGGCAAGCGUUGUCCGGAUUUAUUGGGUUUAAAGGGUGCGUAGGCGGCCUUAUAAGUCAGUGCUGAAAUAUCCCGGCUUAACCGGGAGGGUGGCAUUGAUACUGUAGGGCUUGAGUGUAGUCGAGGUAGGCGGAAUUGACGGUGUAGCGGUGAAAUGCUUAGAUAUCGUCAAGAACACCGAUAGUGUAGACAGCUUACUAGGCUACAACUGACGCUGAGGCACGAAGGUGUGGGGAUCAAACAGG
rnacentral:rRNA from 1 species